GCACUCCUCCGCAGAGCUCUCGCUGCUCCAGCAAACAACAUAGAACAAAGCCACCAGGAUUUGAAAAGCCAGAAGCAAAACUGACACCUUGUCCUCCUCCAUUAAGAAGAUAAGCUGAACAACACAUUUCAGUCAAAAGGGAAGAAACAGGACUUUGCACCCUUCUAUAAAUGAUAAGGAUCAGCUUGUUCUUAUCACCAAAUAAAUUAAAACUAAAGUC